rnacentral:lncRNA from 1 species
CAUUCUCAGUUUCUUCAUUUCACACUCCAUCCAAACCAUUAUGUUGUGUACAGUACAAUAUUAUAGCUUACAUGAUAUCAGAAAGUUUGAAUUAGCUCCACACCAGUAUAAUAUUACAGGAUAAACUAGUAUUAUAUUGUGAUUUUCAUCAAGCACUUGUUUUGCAUGUGAAGAUGACAAGUUACCGUCCCUGUUUUUCUUGGGUGCCGAGUCAUACUUAGGUAGGUGGGUGGAUAAAUAUGCCAUGAGUACAGUAACUGAAGCUUAUAUGUAUAUUGCCAAUUGUAUGUACUGUUAUACCUGCAAAUUAGUAAACUUUGAAUUACAGUUAAAGAUAGGACUCAAGUGAAAUACUACACCUUUACACCUUAAAGAGGUGUAUACCCAAAUCUUAUAAUCUCUGUCUCGUGCACUUUCACACUGAUCCAAAGCCUUUAAUAGAUGCAGUUUUAAUGGAGGAAAGUAGUGGGAAAUAGAUAACUUCAAUGAGAAACCCAAAUAAAAAGUGUACCGUAUGGUACAGAUCAAGGGAGACUUUGAAAUAUUAAAAGUGAGGCCCAAAAUGCUCAAAAUCACUAGUACGGGCCCCUCCACACCAUUAGGGUUCGUGCCCGCACCAUUAUGAUGCAGAGAUACUUAAUUUUUUUAAAAUCGCGUCAGGUGGAUUUUGGGAUGGAUGGUGUAAGAUGGCUUCUCCAUUUAACACCCUACAGCCAACCUUGG